rnacentral:rRNA from 1 species
ACACGUAGGGGGCGAGCGUUAUCCGGAUUUACUGGGCGUAAAGCGCGCGCAGGCGGCUUCGUAAGUCGGACGUGAAAGCCCCCGGCUCAACCGGGGGAGGCCGUUCGAUACUGCGAGGCUUGAGGUCGGGAGAGGGGCGUGGAAUUCCCGGUGUAGCGGUGGAAUGCGUAGAUAUCGGGAGGAACACCAGUGGCGAAGGCGGCGCCCUGGCCCGCACCUGACGCUGAGGCGCGAAAGCGUGGGGAGCGAACGGGAUUAGAAACCCUAGUAGUCC